CCGCUUUUAGCUCAGUGGUCGAGCGUUGGCUUUGGAAGCCACAGAUCGGGGAUUCGAACCCACCACGGCACA
rfam:Phytophthora infestans T30-4 supercont1.230 genomic scaffold, whole genome shotgun sequence.